rnacentral:rRNA from 2 species
AGAUUAAACUGAAGAGUUUGAUCCUGGCUCAGAUUGAACGCUGGCGGCAUGCCUUACACAUGCAAGUCGAACGGCAGCGCGGGGCAACCUGGCGGCGAGUGGCGAACGGGUGAGUAAUAUAUCGGAACGUACCCUGGAGUGGGGGAUAACGUAGCGAAAGUUACGCUAAUACCGCAUACGAUCUAAGGAUGAAAGUGGGGGAUCGCAAGACCUCAUGCUCCUGGAGCGGCCGAUAUCUGAUUAGCUAGUUGGUAGGGUAAAAGCCUACCAAGGCAUCGAUCAGUAGCUGGUCUGAGAGGACGACCAGCCACACUGGAACUGAGACACGGUCCAGACUCCUACGGGAGGCAGCAGUGGGGAAUUUUGGACAAUGGGCGCAAGCCUGAUCCAGCAAUGCCGCGUGAGUGAAGAAGGCCUUCGGGUUGUAAAGCUCUUUUGUCAGGGAAGAAACGGCCUGUUCUAAUACAGUGGGCUAAUGACGGUACCUGAAGAAUAAGCACCGGCUAACUACGUGCCAGCAGCCGCGGUAAUACGUAGGGUGCAAGCGUUAAUCGGAAUUACUGGGCGUAAAGCGUGCGCAGGCGGUUUUGUAAGU